UGGGGAAUAUUGGACAAUGGGCGAAAGCCUGAUCCAGCCAUGCCGCGUGAGUGAUGAAGGCCUUAGGGUUGUAAAGCUCUUUCAGUGGGGACGAUAAUGACGGUACCCACAGAAGAAGCCCCGGCUAACUUCGUGCCAGCAGCCGCGGUAAUACGAAGGGGGCUAGCGUUGUUCGGAUUUACUGGGCGUAAAGCGCACGUAGGCGGAUCGUUAAGUGAGGGGUGAAAUCCCAGGGCUCAACCCUGGAACUGCCUUUCAUACUGGCGAUCUUGAGUCCGGAAGAGGUGAGUGGAACUCCUAGUGUAGAGGUGGAAUUCGUAGAUAUUAGGAAGAACACCAGUGGCGAAGGCGGCUCACUGGUCCGGUACUGACGCUGAGGUGCGAAAGCGUGGGGAGCAAACAGG
rnacentral:rRNA from 1 species